UACAGAGGUCUCAAGCGUUUGUUCGGAUUCAUUGGGCGUAAAGGGUGCGUAGGUGGCAUGGUAAGUUGAAGGUGAAAUCUCGGGGCUUAACUCCGAAACUGCCUUCAAUACUGCUGUGCUUGAGGAUUGUAGAGGAGAAUGGAAUUCACGGUGUAGCAGUGAAAUGCGUAGAUAUCGUGAGGAAGACCAGUGGCGAAGGCGAUUCUCUGGGCAAUUCCUGACAC
rnacentral:rRNA from 1 species